AAAUUAAUACUUAGAUACUAGUAAAUCUUGUACAAAUCUACGACCUGGUGCAGUGCCAACUAUAUUUGAACAAGUUUCUGAGGAUGAAGAAUUAUGUUCACCUCCAAUAAAACGAGUUAAAACUUUGCUUCCAGUGCUUCGUGAGAUUCAAAAUGUUACAGAAAAUUUGCCAGGACCUUCAAAUGUUGAUGUCUUGAAACCACAAACAGUCGAAAAGGUAGUGGAAUCACUGAAGAAGAAGAUUUUAACAAAAAAUAAACAGAUCAAAGCAUUGCGUCAGCAACGCAUCCGUUUGAAACGUAAAGUUGCAAAGUUUUCUAAUAUUAUUGCUGAACUGAAAGAUAAAUUAAAUCAAGAAGAUAUACAUAUUUUAAACAAUAUACCGGGAAAUAAUAAAGAUUUUCUGGUGAGGUAUUUAAAAAAAUCCCGUGGUAGUACUUUAGACAAAUCGUAUUCAGCCGAACUACGGUCAUUUGCCCUCCAAUUAAAUUUUAACUCCCCCAGGGCAUAUAAUUUUGUACGAAGUACAUUCAAUACUACGUUUAGGUUUAUGACAGUAGCUUAAGCAAAUAUAAAGGCUAUCAAGAAAAGAGCGUAUUUGUUUAUUAAAGGCCGGCAAAGCACCUGUAAGUGAUUUUAUAUUAAUUUACGAUGUAAACACAAAUUUAAAGACACUAAUUUGUCCAAUAGAAAUUAUUUAAAAAAGUUGUGUUGUUUCAAAAUAAAUAAUUGUUAAAAAUCUGGUUUUUAUUGUUUUAUUUACACAUUGGUACAUACAUCGUAGAAGCCGUACGCUACGAGAAUUUUUGGGAAGUA